UUGCGAUUCUUACAAUUCUCAAGAUUUUAUAUGUCUUGUGAUUUGAUACUGUGAUUUUAUUGCGAUUCGGUGUUCCAGACAUACACUACAUGUGGAUACCUGCUCGUCGAACAUCUCAUUCCAAAACCACCCAACAUUAUAUAUGUUCUGGAGACCACCCAACAUUAUAUAUGUUCUGGAGACCAUCCAACAGUAUAUAUGUUCCGGAGACCAUCCAACAGACCAUCCAACAGCAUAUAUGUUCUGGAGACCAUCCAACAGUAUAUAUGUUCUGGAGACCAUCCAACAGACCACCCAACAGACCACCCAACAGACCAUCCAACAGUAUAUAUGUUCUGGAGACCAUCCAACAGUAUAUAUGUUCUGGAGACCAUCCAACAGACCAUCCAACAGACCACCCAACAGUAUAUAUGUUCUGGAGGCCACCCAACAGACCAUCCAACAGUAUAUAUGUUCCGGAGACCAUCCAACAGACCAUCCAGCAGAAUAUAUGUUCUGGAGACGAUCCAACAGACCAUCCAACACUAUAUCUGUUCUGGAGACCACCCAACAGACCAUCCAACAGUAUAUAUGUUCUGGAGAACAUCCAACAGACCAUCCAACACUAUAUAUGUUCUGGAGACCACCCAACAGACCAUCCAACAGUAUAUAUGUUCUGGAGACCAUCCAACAGUAUAUAUGUUCUGGAGACCAUCCAACAGACCAUCCAACAGACCACCCAACAGUAUAUAUGUUCUGGAGGCCACCCAACAGACUAUCCAACAGUAUAUAUGUUCUGGAGACCAUCCAACAGACCAUCCAACAGACCACCCAACAGUAUAUAUGUUCUGGAGACCACCCAACAGACUAUCCAGCAGUAUAUAUGUUCUGGAGACCAUCCAACAGACCACCCAACAGACUAUCCAACAGUAUAUAUGUUCUGGAGACCACCCAACAGACCAUCCAACAGUAUAUAUGUUCCGGAGACCAUCCAACAGACCACCCAACAGUAUAUAUGUUCUGGAGACCAUCCAACAGACCAUCCAACAGUAUAUAUGUUCCUGGGACCAUCCAACAGACCACCCAACAGUAUAUAUGUUCUGGAGACCACCCAACAGACUAUCCAACAGUAUAUUUGUUCCGGAGACCAUCCAACAGACCAUCCAGCAGUAUAUGUGUUCUGGAGACCAUCCAACAGACCAUCCAACAGUAUAUUUGUUCCGGAGACCAUCCAACAGACCAUCCAACAGUAUAUAUGUUCUGGAGACCACCCAACAGACCAUCCAACAGUAUAUUUGUUCCGGAGACCAUCCAACAGACCAUCCAGCAGUAUAUAUGUUCCGGAGACCACCCAACAGACCAUCCAGCAGUAUAUAUGUUCCGGAGACCAUCCAACAGACCAUCCAACAGUAUAUAUGUUCCGGAGACCACCCAACAGACCAUCCAACAGUAUAUAUGUUCUGGAGACCACCCAACAGACCAUCCAACAGUAUAUUUGUUCCGGAGACCAUCCAACAGACCAUCCAACAGUAUAUAUGUUCUGGAGACCACCCAACAGACCAUCCAACAGUAUAUUUGUUCCGGAGACCAUCCAACAGACCAUCCAGCAGUAUAUAUGUUCCGGAGACCACCCAACAGACCAUCCAACAGUAUAUAUGUUCCGGAGACCAUCCAACAGACCAUCCAGCAGUAUAUAUGUUCCGGAGACCACCCAACAGACCAUCCAACGGUAUAUAUGUUCCGGAGACCAUCCAACAGUAUAUAUGUUCUGGAGACCAUCCAACAGUAUAUAUGUUCUGGAGACCAUCCAACAGACCAUCCAACAGUAUAUAUGUUCUGGAGACCAUCCAACAGACCAUCCAACAGUAUAUAUGUUCCGGAGACCAUCCAACCGUAUAUAUGUUCUGGAGACCAUCCAACAGUAUAUAUGUUCUGGAGACCAUCCAACAGACCAUCCAACAGUAUAUAUGUUCUGGAGACCAUCCAACAGUAUAUAUGUUCCGGAGACCACCCAACAGACCAUCCAACAGUAUAUAUGUUCCGGAGACCAUCCAACCGUAUAUAUGUUCUGGAGACCAUCC
rnacentral:lncRNA from 1 species